CAGGAAUCCACAUAUCCAUUACACAGGACUUUAAAGUAAGCAAAACCUCCCCACUGAUCGGACAGAUGCUCUGUGCUUAAGAUUUAGAAGAAUCUCAGGCUUUAGGACUGAAGGAAGAGCUGUAUGGGAUUGAAAAGCAUGGCAAUGGCUGGCAGAGAUCAUCUGGACUGGGGGCAGAGGGAGGACACACCAGGCCCGACAGCAGGCCUUACUCAUCACUCUGCCUCAGUCUAUUAGGCCUUGAAGGCAGUCUGAACUGCCUAAUGCUUUAUGGUCCGCAGGAGUCAUGAGGGCCCGAGUUCCUGGGAUAGGAGGCCCACGCGAAUCCAGAAGUCAAGGCCUGAGGGUCAAAUCCGUGACGGCGUUCUGGGGUGAAGUCCAAAGUUGGAAGCCAUGAAUCUGAGAACCCAGGCGCAAGGACCUGUCCUGAGGUUGGGGGGGCCUGUCAGGUGCUUGAGUUGGUGGGUGGGAGGCUGGGAGGGAUGGGAAAGGGGCUUGUUUUGCUGUUUGUAUGCUGUUUUGUUCUUGCUGCUAGUGUUUUUUGUAACAUUGUGGGCAUAGUAUGUCAGUGCUGCAAUGUGUGGCAACACCUCUGGCCUGUCCCCAACACAUCCUUGUUAACACACAUGAUGUACUUUACUAUAUUUUUCAAAGUGUAUGUGGUAAAUAAAGCUGAGAUUUCUAUACAAAAAGAUACUUAUAAUACAAUCACAAAAGAAGUAACAAAAGCUGCUGAUCUGUCACCUCUAAGAUAUUCUCCAUAUAACUGCUUCUCUCUCCUGCUCUUUAGCUCUUUCAUUUUCAGUUACC